CACUAGCAGCCACCAUCUUGUUUCCAAACCGUCAUGACGUCCCGAAUGUACAUUUGUCAGCUACAAAAUAACUCCGCAAAUAUACUCGAUGUGCACAGCAAACCGGGAUCUGAGUGCUUCUGUCGUGCGGUUUACAUUUGAAGCCCCUGGAAGCAGGAAAGGCAAGCUGCUGCCCCAGAUGGCACCGCUAACGAGGAGACCCAAAUGGUACUCAGAGCGCCAGGCUUGGGUUCGCAACCAAGGUCUACCAUUACACUUGGUGGCCCCAGAGAGGAAGGCCGCCAGAGACUCUGCUUUGUGUGCUGUCACACACUUGAGUUGAAGCGUCAGUCACUUCUGCCCGAUGGCCUUGGAAGGCUGCCCUGUAUGGAAGCUUCCUCAUGCCGAGGCAACAGUGAGACCCAUUUUCAGAGUCGGGUAAAGAAGAAGUUGGUGAAGGUAAAUAUUGGCAUCAGUAAACACACUCUUAGGACCAUUCUGCUUCCUCCCUAAAGGAAGAGUACGACCGUGAUGGUGAAUGCUGAUUGCCAGGUCGACAAGCUCUAAAAUCACUUAGCAGCCAGUCUUCUGGGCACGGCUAUAUGGAAGUUUCUAGAGUGGGUUAAGUAAGGUGGAAAGACCCACCCUAAACAUGGGUGACACCAUUGAAUGGGUCAGGACCUCAGAUGGAAUAAAAAGGAGAAAGCAAGCUGGGUGUCAGCAGGCAUCUCUCUUUGUUUCCUGACUAGGAUCUGGGUACCAGCACUCAUCUCAAAAUUUGUGUUUCCUGCGUAGAGACAUGAUGUGACUGGUGCCUCAUCUCCUACCACCAUGCCUUCCCCAUCAUGAGGCACCAUAGCCAAGAACUGUGAGCCAAAAUGACUCUUCUUUCAGUUGGUUUUGCAGAGUAUUUUUGUCAUAGCAACAAGAAAAGGAACUAUAAUAACGCAAGCGGCAACUCCACCUCAAGUCUGCUCGGGACGUGGCCACAAAGGUGGCUUGUUGAAUCUCCUCUCGGUCAUUGUUGUAUCCAACUAGUCCAUCAGUCCUUGGGUUCAGAAACUGUGGUAGUGUCGGUGAGUAGGCUUCCACGGUCAUCCAGGGGAUGCCUGUCCCUGACUUCCCUGCCCAGGGCAAAUGCCAAGAGAAGGUAGAACAUUACUUAUUGAGUACCUACUUAGUCCCCCAGGACUGUGCACAUGCCUCAAAUACUUCUUCCACAAUAUCUCCCAAUAACCCAAGAUUCUUCUACUGUCCAUUUGAGAGAAUGUUGGCUCAGAGAGGUCAAGUGGAUGGCCUAAGGUCACAGAGUUUUUGAGAGGCCGAGCCAAGAUCCAAACCAAGGUCCUAGAGUCUCAUGAACACAAUCUGGUGCCCAAGGCCAGAAACCUGCCAGAGUUGGCAUCCUGUUCUGAGACUAUCUUGCCCAAUCAAUCAGCUUAGGGCUGAAGACACAGGUACUAUGUUGAAUCCAGGAAACAGUUUGGGGAAACUGAGAUCAAGCCAGAGGACCUCCUCUUCCAUUAGUGCCACACUCUGGUCCCCCUACGGUUGUGGUACCCUCGAUGGGCCAGUCCGUGGCACACUAGAGGUAGGGUGGCUGGGAGCUGGGGGAUCGGGGGACAGGGGGCAGGUGAGUGGCUGGGGCCUGGAACACUGACCACCGAUUCAUGCUCCAUGCUGGUUCUUGCUUAAGGGACUUGGAGGCACAAGAGCCAGUGAGUGUAAAGUGGAGGCCGCAAUGGCCCCUUCAGUCACAGCAGAUGUGGCUUGAGUCCUGUGUCCACUAGCUAAAGGCCUCCUAAUGCUAGAUCUGGAAAAGCAGGCACGCACAAGAUGUGGCCCCAGUCCCUAGUGAAUGGAAGACGUUAAUCACGUGGUGUAGCUGGGGAAACAAACGUCCAAGGAAGUGCCUUGCCCAAGGCCACGGUGUGCUUAGUGGUAGAGCUGGGACAAACAUCCAGAGCAAAUCCGUUGUGGCCGUUUCUGUACAGGGUGCCACUGGGCCAAGGGGAGGGGACUUCAGCAACACAGCCAAGACAUGGCAACUGUGGGAUGCGCUGUCUGAAGCAGGACAGUCCUGCGAGACAAAGGAGCUCUUGUUAAUUAGGUGAGGACAGGACCGGCGAAACCACACGGUCACCUGUGUCAGGAGCUUAUGAUUGUCGGUCAGCCAUGAAAACGGAGUCUUGCCAUUCUGUCUCCGCUGACAGAUCCACAAACUAGGGCUCGGGGGAGGUAAUAAAAGCCAUCUAGAGCUCACCGGCAGAUGCUCAAUCGGGGCAUAAAUAGAACUUGGGUCUUGCAAGAAGAAAAAUCACAGGCAGUGGCUGACUGUCAGGGACAUCUGGGAAGGAGUCAUAACUGUAACCGACAGCUGUCUGUUCUGAUGAUGCUGUGCCUCUGACAAGCUGGGGGUUUUUUGGUUUUUUUUUUUUUAAUAUUUUCAACAAAAAUUUUCAAUUAUUCCUUCCAGGAAAGGGAGCCUAAGAAUGCAGUUUCAGUGGGAGGGACAGACAGGAUGCCACACGGCCAGGAUACUGUCAUUCCAUGGCUAUGGGGAGGUGGCAGGAUCCACAGCAUGCGGUAUAUUCUGAGCCACAGUGCAUGGUGUGGCCUCCAGGGCAAGAGUCUCUGUAGGAGAAGUCCUGCUUCCUUCCUCCUUUUCCCUCUAAGCUAACUCAAAAGCAGCCAGCAAUAGGGUCUGGCAGCCAAGAAGACACUGAGCUAUAAAACAGCUCCAGACAAGGACUGACGUCGGUGCCGAGACAGUCAGGACAGGGACAACAAAGAGAUCCAGGCCCUGCCAGAAGAUAGGCCAUGCCCCAUCCACGGGAGGUCAUGCCAGCCUCGGUCUUCAGAAGAGCAGGAGCGCUGAAGAUCCCUGCAGUACCUCCAAGGCCCCGCCUUCUGGCCCCGCUGUCAGAUCCUCAGCCUUACCUUCCAGCUCUCUGCUUUCUAAGAGUUCCUUCCCCUUUCUGUGUUUACCCCACCCCACCCCCAGCCUGCACCCAGUUAUCCCCAGCCCAGAGCUUGGGGUGAUUUUCAGGAACCUGUCAUUGUGAAAAAAUUCAAACCACUCCUA